rnacentral:rRNA from 1 species
AACGAACGCUGGCGGCAUGCCUAACACAUGCAAGUCGAACGAGACCUCCGGGUCUAGUGGCGCACGGGUGCGUAACGCGUGGGAACCUGCCUUUAGGGUCGGAAUAACUCAGAGAAAUUUGAGCUAAUACCGGAUGAUGUCUUCGGACCAAAGAUUUAUCGCCUUUAGAUGGGCCCGCGUUGGAUUAGCUAGUUGGUGGGGUAAAGGCCUACCAAGGCGACGAUCCAUAGCUGGUCUGAGAGGAUGAUCAGCCACACUGGGACUGAGACACGGCCCAGACUCCUACGGGAGGCAGCAGUGGGGAAUAUUGGACAAUGGGCGAAAGCCUGAUCCAGCAAUGCCGCGUGAGUGAUGAAGGCCUUAGGGUUGUAAAGCUCUUUUACCCGAGAUGAUAAUGACAGUAUCGGGAGAAUAAGCGCCGGCUAACUCCGUG